UCAGCCUGGGCGCGCCCGGGCCCAGACGCGCACGAAGUCUCCUCCCGAAGCCCCGGCCCCGAAGGAGAAAACGCCGAGCGCUGGGCCCAGCGCGCCCCCGCUUUGGGGAAGCCCGGGCUCGGCCGGCGGCAGGGUGGCGCCCUCUGGGGCCCUCCCGAGGGUCAGCUGCGGGCGGCGGCCGGGGCGCGGCGGGCGCGGGAAGCCAGAGGACGGCUGACUCGUCUUCCUUCCCGCCGCCGCAACCCAUGUGACUCACGGUGGAACUCAGCCCACAUCCAGAUUCCAGCACCUUGCCCUCUGCUAUAGUCUGGGAAACUCUGCCAGGUUCUGAGCCAGAGAAGGAAGAGGACGGCCUCACCCUGCGGACCCCACCCUCCAGGAAUGGAUUUAUGCUUCAUUGUUGGUGGCAACUAUAGAAACCACAGAAAACACCUAUUCAUCCUUUAGAUCUCAGGCCCCUGAAAUCUCGGGACCUUCCCUGACUGCUGGAAGUGUCAGAAACCCCAUGAAAAGUGGAAUCUUAUUUCUCACAUCGGUGAAAUCAGGGCGCUCUCCAUGGAGUCCUCCAGAGCCCAGGCUCCUUCCCCCUCUGCCAGCCUGAGGGCAAGUCCCUCUGCCUCGGUCCAAGGAGUACUCAACACACCAUUGGAAGAGAAUCGAUUGCCACCAACUCAAACUCUCUGUCACCUUCUUCCUGCCUGCACUCAAGGUAUCCACUGGGUCUCUGUCCCACCUGGCUGUUGACUGUUCUGCCACCUUACAAAGGAAAGGUGAGCCUCUUAUCAACCGUGUGCAAGAGGAGGGUAGUGGGACUCCCCCCGACCCUGCAACCACCACUGUGGGCGGGCAAUAGGCUGCAUCGUCCAUAGAGAAUUUUAAAACAUUAACCGUCCCCCAAAUGGGCUGCUCUGUAUUAUCACCUCGGGGCGAUUCCAAACAACCUCAGUAGGGACUUCCCUGGUGCCGCAGUGGUUAAGGCUCCAUGCUGUCAGUGCAGGGAGGCCCGGGUUCAAUCCCUGGUCAGGGAACUACAUCCCACAUGCAUGCCGCA